UAGCCGAAAGGUGAAACGCGUCUAGCUGUACUCUUAGAUUAUCGGAUAGUUGGUUCGUUGGAUUCGCGAGGCGCGAUCGAUGCGCGGCGAACGCGUGGUACACGCGCGAUUAUGCCGUUCGCUCCAUAUCGAGUAACCACCACCGGACACCGUUGAAACGUCGACGGACUCGCGCGACAGCAGCGACGGAAUAACCGCAAACGGGUAGAACCGACGCGAGUCACCAAAAACCCGUUUCGCCGGUUUACCGCGCCAACAGCUGACAGCGAUAGCGUUCGCGUAAAGCAGCGUUUAUGUUAUCCCUCGCUAUACGGCACGGAUACGACACGGUACCGUUCCGACGAACAUUCUUGCCGCCGAUAACACAGGGGUGUUCGCUUAUCCGUCGUAGCGGACGGUAUCGGCGUUUUAAACGAGACGAAAAAAAUCGACCCCGAGUCUGAACGCGCACGAGCGACAUUUUACCGCUCCUUUGUUUCUUUUCCUAUUAUUUUCCUAUGAAAAACUGCGCAAAGACAAACCAGUACGUGCAUCGUACGCAGAAGGAUCGCGCGGUAAAACGUCGCUUUCGUCUUUCCCUCGGGAAUACGUACGUUUACGCGCGUUUACGUAUUUCCACGACUCUAGCCAGAUCGUCGCUCGCCAGAGUCGUGGAUCAACGACCGUGGCGACCGCGUCGAAAGGGACUGCGAGAAGAGAGUGUCGCGAAAGAAGGUCAAGGGGAAACGUCAAGGGGCCGAUGAAUCGACAAACGGGACGAUUCGUCUCGCGCGUUCCACGCCUGGUUUCUGCAGGGUUCGAUACGUCGCCUCGACGUCACAAUGCGUUGACGCGCGAACGUUAAACCGACGAGACAGGAGGAAGCUGGAAACGGCGAGAACACGGCACGAUAAGCGGGAACGUGCACGCGCGACGACCCGCACCAAGGAAUUCCACGCGAGUGGAUUUCAGUGAAUAGAAAGUUUACUCUAAAACGCAACUGCCGCUACAUGUACAACGGCGGUCAAUCAUUGCUAUGCCGAUCACGGCUGUCUCAUUCGCGCUUCGCGAGUAGCUUGUCGAGGACGUCGAUCUUACGACGUUCGAUACUCGAGCGUUCGUUCCCAGCCGCGUCUAUACGGCAUCGACGGAGGUACGAUCGAUGCGCGUGGCUCUGUCUUUCGUCUCGGCCGACAUCAGCCUCUGAACUACGCGUCCAGCGUGCAAAUCCUCGCGAGCAGAAACAUCGGUUCCUGAAAGCUACGACACCAGCUCCGUCCGACGCAGAACGAAACUCGUUGCUCAAACGCGCCCGACGCGCUCGCCGCGUACGUACGCCUUUCUAAGAAGCUUUCCGCUUUCCUAGUUGCUUUCACCGACUACGAACGCCGAGUCGUCGUCUCGCUACUCUCACCACAGCGAUCCUCUCUCCCUAUCGGUUCUCCACCUUUUCCCGUUUUCUUCUAUCUCUUCGCUUUUCGCGUCAUUUCCGACGCUUGGAAUACGUGGCCGACACUAGCCAGAGAACGAGCACAGAGACGAGACGACGGCUCGUGAGAGACGGUACGGCACGGUUUGAUCCGCGCGUCGCUGAUUCGAAACCGUUCGUCGAGUUCGCCGUGGCACGGCGGCGAAUCAGUCGGGGCUGACACACAUUCGCCCUGGCAAAAGAGCUAUUCUGCUAUGAACGCUGCUCCCUGGGUCGUCGACCUGCCUUCUGUUGCUUCCUCUUCCACCACCUUCCACCUCCUCCACUCUCCUUUCUCUUCUACGCCGCUCUACGCUUUCCUCUCCUCUCCUCUCCUCUCCUCUCCUCUCCGCCUCCUCUCCGCGCGUUUCCUCCACGCUCCUCGGUUCUUUUCUUAUUUUCCACGCGUUUCCCUCCUUUCUCUUUUGUCGCGCGGUGUUGGCCGGCCUCGUCCUUUGCCGGCUUUUUUUCCGCUUCGGCUCGAUCCACCGCUUCUCCGUCCUGCCACAUCCUACUCUGCUUUCUUCCGUUUCUCUCCGAUCUCUGCGAUUCUAGUUUUUUUCCGCCGAUCGAUCCGCUCGGUCGUUCGCUUCGCGGAAAUUCCGAAGCGAAACGAACGACGAUUUCAAGAUCGAGGCGAAUCGCGCACCGUCUUCCUUCCGGAUCGGACAGGAAAACGCGUUUUUAUCCUCUCCGGUGUCUGUCCGACGUGGUCGAUGCGUCCACCACCCUAGUCGGAAAUCGGAUUCGAGCGCGAACCGUUCGCGGUUUCGGAAUCACGAGUUUCGCGACGAUAUUCGAUCCCCUGAUGGGCUCCAACGGCGGACCUCGAAUAUCGUUCGAGUCUCUUUCGUCCAAGAUGGGUUCGCGUUCGAAAAAUUGCCAGCGCGCGUUUCUAAUUUCAAGUUGUUCGCGCUACGCUCUUCUUCUCCUUUCGUCCGUGUCCGCCUCUCUCUCUCUCUCUCUUUCUACCCCUCCCUUCUCUUCCUUCUCUUCCUCUUCCUCGCCGUCCGGCACGUCGUACUUGCUACACCGUUUCCUCGUUCAGGGUGUUGCCCAAACACAAUACGUUUUCGCAAUGCGCGCGCGAUAUUACGAUGUCCGUUGCAUCCACGUCAUUGUUCGCGUUCGCGAUGCGUAACGCACCACGAGAGUGGUUCGUGGUUUUUCGUUUCCAUCCUUCUCUUCGUCGUCCGACACGCGAUCGUCCCUCGAUCCUCCGUUGCAAACUCUACCCUACUGUUGUCGCCAGGCAAAAACCAGUCGAUUCCAAAGGUGACGAUAUUUGCGAGAAAACAAUGCCAGUUCGAUCGAACGUGUAUGUCCCUCGAACCUAUAUACUCCAGACUUUAUCGCGCAAACUUGUUGCAACCAUGCUCGAUCACGAGUCGUAUACGUUUAGCGCACGACGUUCCUUCGCAAAUGUUGCUUGUAAAAAGAAAAAGAGAGAGAGAGAAACAAAGUUUGCAAACAAUCUGCAAAGUUGUUACAGGCGCCGCGAAAAGCUUUAAAAGUAUUCAAGGUAUCAGAAUUCGACGAUACAGAGCACGAAAUAACUGCGUGUAAUUGUAUCGUCGUUUGAAAUUUUUAAUUGUCUAGUAACGAAAUGACAAUUACAUUUCUCUUAAUAUUCGUUGCAAAGGGAUAUAGAAGCACGACGCCGACGAUUAUCAUUGACGAUCAACGUUAACGACGAAAGUAACGAACGAAAUGUAAACAAAUAGAACUUUCGUUUCUCGAAUCGAUUUAUUUUUAAAUUAUGCUCGAGAACUUGUAAACGUUUUCAGCAACCUGAAAUUAGAACGGAACGUCUGAUUUCGAGCAUCGGUCGUUGAGCGAGAUAACGAACGCUGAUCCGUUUUGAACGCGCGAGAUCGAUUCUUUGCGCCGUGGCUGUUGCCGCCGCUCGGCUAUCCGGUCGACGCAACGCGCCCUCGUCCAUUAUUACGUUCGUUGUCGCACGUUUCGAAUCUUUUUUCAGCAACUUUGCGACGAAAUCUUAAUUGGAAGAAAUUCGCGCGAUGGAAUUUUCCCUGCCGCUUUUUGUCGCGGCGAAGAUUAAUUUGUCAGAACUGGUAGACCGGAGAUUACGCUGCUCCUCCAAAACGAAACAGUGUAAAUUCGGAUUAACCUAAACCGAUUCACGUCACGCUCGAUUCCCCCUUUCUCGUCUACGGUGCGAGACCGAAACGAUCGUGCCCGCAACGGGAUGUUCGCUUCGACACUCAUCGUAUUGGCGGCUGUUUCGUCGAAUUCGGCGAAAGGUCGCGCCGAUUACGCCUUCGAAAGCAACGAAUUCGAUCGCGAAUCCGAAAACGAACAUUAUCGAUCUCGUUCCUCUUCGCGAGACUCGAAUAUUUCAACGAAUUUUCUGGGUUAAGGUGUACUCGAGGUAAAACGAGCUUCGUCUUCUGGCACACGGCCGAAAGGUGUGGAUUUUCCAACCGCGUAACCGUCGUUUUUAGUGUCAUCGGUCGAAAUACGCGACCCUUGCUUCUUCCUCCUUCCUUCUCUCGUUCCUAUUUCCUUUUACUGGCUUUCGUUUAAAAGCGCAUCUUUUCAACAAGCUCGACAACCGUAACAACGAUCGAUUACCAAUCGUCAUCAACGAAACGAAAAGACGCGAACGAGAAGGAACGAACGGGCAAACGAUGGCACGCGGCUGCCACAUAUUCAUUUCGUCAACCGUCGAUCGAUCGAUUUGUUCAAAGUUUCUCGCAGCCGCCGGCAUUCUCGCGAACGAAACGCUAGUUUUCCAGUUCAGUUUACCGAUCUAUCGUAACGAUUCGUCUUGGUAAAGUACAAAAGAUGGCGAUACUACAGAAAGAAAAUCAUAACCGGCAAAGGAAAGAGGUCAUUUCCCUUUUUCAAAGUGCUUUUUUCUUCGACGAAUCGAAAGCGGUGGUCGAUUACGAAGUUUCGAAAGAAGUAUUGGACGAUUAGGCAUACUUUUGAUUUCCUUCUCCGAAGGCAUGCUACUUAUACCUAUAACGCGAUAGAGUAAAAACGAAAGACGUGGAGUGUUCGUUGAUUCGGUUCGAAGACGGAAGAAGGUUCGGACUCUGUCAUUUUGCACGCUAUGAUUUAUUUACCACGGCCGACACUCGUGUCUUCUUCCUGCUUUCCCUCCUCGACGCCCUUACCAUUCGACGGUUCGCAUCCGUAAGGCUUCGCGAAGCUCCAGAAACCGUCGAAUUUUCGAGAGUUUGCCACGAUGCUAUAAAUUGCCGAUUUCAAGUUCGCUCGACGAACGAUCGCGAGAUUUUAAACACGUAACACGUCGUCGAACGUGUAAAGGCGAGCAUCCAAACGGUCGGCUGCGUAGGCAAAUCGGCGGGGCAAGAGAGGGAGGGAGGGAGCAGAGAAAGAGAAAGAGAAAGAGAGAGAGAGAGAGAGAACUGCUUAUUCGUUGGAACACAAGAUCGGGGUCGAAGAAGACGGGGGUGGGCAGCAGCCAGCUGAUUCGGGAGAGUUCGUGAACGACCGUAAUCGAAACGCGAGGGAACGAAAGAGGCGAGGUAGCGCAGCAGCGCACGUCCGAUGCAGUCUGCCGCGACCACCGGGAAACCAGCUGACUGGUCGGUUCGGUCGCGUUCGUUGAAUCGUUCGGCAGUCUUCGGAUCUUUGUUCGUCUCCGUGCACGAGGCGGCUACCGGCAAGCGACAAACCUUUCCGUCAGUCGUCAGUCGCCGUUUCGACACUGUCGAAGGGUAAUGUGCGCGUGUGUCUAUUACCUCUUUGACACUAUCAGCGUUAACUUUGUUGCUUGAAUCGCGCGAUCGGCCAUCUCGUUACUGCAUCGGUCGACCGUAGACGGUCGAUCGGAACGCUCGUCGUUCCGAGAGAUACAAGAGAGAACGAAAGAACGCGAUUAGCGUCGUCGCGCAGUCUGCUCGUUACCGGCCUCCUCGUUCGCGUCGUUGUCGCGUAGUCGGAGGAGAAGACGCGAGAGAAAUCGUUGGCAAGGAUACGAAUUUUGUGGAACGAGAGCGUGAUUUUGGUUCCGUGCUCGUCUGCUCGGUCGCGACGACGAGCAACUCUCGCGGUUGCGAUCCAAGGAAAAAGAACGGAUCUUGUGUUUUAAAACAAAGGAAAGCGGAGGAAAAGGUACGGCUAGAGAGGACGAAGAAAGGAAAGGAAAGGAAGAGAAGAAGGAAGGAAGGAAGGAAGAAGGGAAGAAGAAAAAGAAGGAGAAACGACUGUAAGCGAAGCGCUAUGAAAUCCGAUCGGUACGAUAGGUCGGUAUUUCCGAGCGGAAAGGACACGAUGGUAUCGCGUAACGGAUAGCUGGUUCGCGCGACACACACGUAUCGCCAGUUCACCGUCGAAAUCGUCGAUUUCCACCGGCCGGAUCGGAAAUCCAGUUCCCUUGGCAUUUGGAUUUACGCGAAGAUUUCGAGCGUGAAAGCCGAAUUGCCGUGGCUCGACAUUGCUCGGGUG